CUGGCGGGGAUGAAACGUUUGCCGCCGAAUACGUCACUCCCAUUUCUUGCGAGAUUUUUUGACUGCUUCAUUUUCUCUGGCGGUUGCCUGGGUCUAAAGGACCACGGGCCUUCGGCGGCAAGACGCUUUUAAAUAGGCUACUCUCAAAAUCGACCGGCCAUGAUGGUUUGGACACAUUCGCAUCAGUUCGUCGCUCAAUCGCGAGUUACAGUCUGCUAGCUAGCAAAGUCAUCGACUACCAUCGUUUAAAUACCUUGGCCAGAGCAUAACCGAUUAUCUUCACCCAAGAGACCUACUGUUGGUCAAUCGUUUUGGUUUUAAAGGUAAAUACACUGUUAGUCACAAUGUUUAGUUACUGGGCCAAAAGGAAAAUAAUAAUGAAAAGAGUUGAGAGGGACAAACAGGACAUUCACUUGAAUCACUACAUUCUACAGAAGUUGCAUUGAUUCCAGAAAACCAGGAAAAUGUUGAGCCAUCUGUAGACUUCAGAGUUGAACCAGGUUUCUCCCCAGUAAUCCAGACUCCACUUCAGAGCCAAGAGUUUGAGUACAAGGCACUUGACUUUCUGGAUAAAAGGUGUGGAGUUCGUCAAGUACUAAACUUUACACCCCCAGCAGAAAAUGUACCCUGGCAGCAAAUGGGUGAAAAGGCUGGAGGAGAAAGUCAUCGCUCCGUUUUUGUCCCUUGGACUCCCCUGGCAUCGCAUGUACAGCAUGAAGUUUUCAGCAAUGAAGGUAUAUUCUAUGCCUAUGUCCUAAUGUCCAGUUUUUUAACAGUUUUGAAAAUAGUGCCUUUAGUUUUCCAGAACGAGAACCAAGCCCUGAGGGAGGAGAACCAAGCCCUGAGGGAGGAGAACCAAGCCCUGAGGGAGGAGAACCAAGCCCUGAGGGAGGGGAACCAAGCCCUGAGGGAGGGGAGCCAUGCCCUGAGGGAGGGGAGCCAUGCCCUGAGGGAGGGGAGCCAUGCCCUGAGGGAGGGGAGCCAUGCAAGAGCAGCUUCGGGUGACAGCGGCUCGCUUCAAGAGCAGGUGAAGCUAUUUGGGACAAUGCUGAAGAUGUUUGCUCGCACUGGGCAAUCAGGUGCAGAUCAGACCCUAGUGCUGCGACGUCUUGGAGAGUUUGGCGAUGUGCGUAGCAUGGAAAACAAAAUGGACACUAUGCUGCAACAUUUCAGUGUCAAUGUGUCUGUUGGAGAGCUAUCCCUGCCAGGGGAUGUUACUCCCCCUAGACACCCAGGAAGAUUUGGUGUUUCUUGACAGCAUUUUGAGGGAGGAUAAAGAGCUCCAGGAACGAUUUGGGCCCUCCGGAAGAACCCGGCAACCCAGGAUGCCACUGAUGAGGCGGUCCAGGUUAACGUUACACGUUACCUGAAAGGAGCAUCAGACUGUGAAGGAGGAAAAAGCCGCCCAGCUGAGAAGGACCCACAGCCAACCCCUUAAACCUAGGCUGACUACUGACACCCCAGCAUCCCUGAACUGGAACACUUUCUUUAUCCUGCAGUCAGUAACAUCAAGAAGCCAGAAGUGCCAGACUACACUCACCAAACCCACCCUGUUUUUUUUGUAUUAACUUUAGUAUUGGCUUAUUUCAUUCCAUCUUAACGAUUCUAUUAUAGUUUGUAAAUCCUAUUUCAUACCUGUUACUUGAUAUUGCGCAUUAACUAGUACCAACAUUCUACUUUCAUUUCAUCACUAUGCUUAACUGUUAUUCAAUUAAUUAUAGCUUGGAAAUACUAUUUCGUACCUCUGAUACUUGAUAUUGCACAGUACCUGGUACCAAAUAUUCUACUUACUCUGUUUUUAACAUCAGCAUUUUUCAUUCCAUCACAGUGCUUAACUGUUAUUCUAUUGUUAAAUAUAGCUUGUAAAUCCUUGUGCCACAGGUCAGCAUUGCAGUUAUAAUGGUCUGUUCUACUACUGUUUUUACCUCUGUAUUUUUAUAUAUGUAUAUCAAGUUUUGUUUAUCACAGAUACAAGAGACACAUCUUAAUGCAGCAUGGUGUAAAUAUUGUGCUCCAGGUCAGCAAUGCCAUUAUAAUGGAAUAUUCUACUCUAGAGCUUUACUCAAUGGCUUGAAAAUGUGAUGUUCUACCUCGUUUUAUUUGGUAUCCUGCACAUUCUUUGGUACCAAAUAUCCUCAUUACUUGUUAUGUUUACUGGUAAUUAUUUUCAUCCCAGAGCUGACCUCUAUAUUAUUAACAAUGAUUGUGUUUGUGUUAUAAUUUGCUUGUAUGGCUGUUCUUUUUUUUUUAACCAACAUUUUAUUGGAAACCUGCAUGUUCUGUGUGUAUUUAUGUUUCUUUUUUUCUGCCUAUUAUUUAUUUCAGUGAUCUGACACAUCUUGUUUGAAUGACAGUUACUGUACUUUGAAAUGUGGAAUUAAAACACCA
ensembl:lncRNA